rnacentral:piRNA from 1 species
UACAUAAAUUGAUUAGAAACACAGCUUCCAG